CUGUGCAGGAGAAGGUCCACUCAGCACCCAGCAUGGACAUGAGGGCCCCUGCUCAGCUGUUGGGGCUCCUGCUGCUCUGGCUCCCAGGAGCCAUGUGUGACAUCCAGUUGACCCAGUCUCCAGCAUCUUUAUCUGUGUCUCCAGGAGGCACAGCAACCAUCACGUGCAGGGCCAGUGAGAACACUGGGUAUGGUUUAGCCUGGUACCAGCAGCAACCAGGGAAAGCCCCUAAACUCCUGAUCUAUGCUGCAGAUGAGUUGGAAUCUGGGGUCCCAUCAAGGUUCAGUGGCAGUGGAUCUGGGACAGAGUUCACUCUCACCAUCAGCGGCCUGCAGCCUGAAGAUGUUGCCACUUAUUACUGUCAACAGUAUUAUGAUUACCCACCCACAGUGAUACAAGUCAUAACAUAAACCUUCCAUGGAAAGAGAAGUGAGAGGCUGG